UGCCAGCAGUCGCGGUAACACGUAGGGGGCAAGCGUUGUCCGGAAUUAUUGGGCGUAAAGAGCUCGUAGGCGGUUUGGUAAGUCAGAUGUGAAAACUCAGGGCUCAACCCUGAGAGGCCAUCUGAUACUGCCAUGACUAGAGUCCGGUAGAGGAGUGUGGAAUUUCUGGUGUAGCGGUGAAAUGCGCAGAUAUCAGAAGGAACACCAACGGCGAAGGCAGCACUCUGGGCCGGUACUGACGCUGAGGAGCGAAAGCGUGGGGAGCAAACAGGAUUAGAUA
rnacentral:rRNA from 1 species